CGCGGGCGGCGUGGCGAAGUCGUCGAGUCGAUCCUCUGCAACGAGGCGGGUCGCGGCGAAGACUGGUGGAAGCACAACCAAUGCGUCGAGCCCGAGCAACCUGAAAUUAUGGGCCUUCGAGUUCGCGCUGACUAUCGAAAAUGUACAGCAAGUUCGCAUGCCUGUGAGGUUCUUUCUCGGGGCCCUGCCUUGGCCGGCAUUUCGGCGUCCACGUCGGAGAUGACGGACCACACGAGGUGCAUGGACGUCAGACGGCCAUCGUAGAGCGGCGUCGGGCACGCUGCUCGCCAGGCCGUUGGCAUCGGCUUGUCAUGCAUCGAGUCAUCGAGUCUCUCACGACUACGUCGCUGUUCUUUCCCAUUGCCGUGAACGCUGCGAGCCAUAAAGGCACCAACUACCUCGAUGUCGGCGUGUGCUUCCCCGUGGACGCCAACAUCGCCAACGCCUACGCGUUCGCGAUCCCCAUGGGUGACCAGUCGGGCAUGGGCGAGAACUUCGCUAGCACGAUCGUCAGCUACCUCGGGGCGCUCUGCCCCAGCGCCAUUCCAAGACUUUCAGCAUUGCGACUGACGGCACAACCAACGUGACGGGUAAGCUCAAGGGGUUUGGCCUGCGCUCCGAGGCCGCCAACCAGAACAGCGUGCUGCACCUCGUAUAGUGCGUGAGGGGGCGUCGAUCUGGCCAUAUUGACAGUGGUGGUGCGUAGUGGUGUGGCGGGCGGUGCCACUGAUUGGUACUUUUUUGUUGUAUUUCCAGCGUGAGCGCUCACGGCUAAACCAGCGUAAAAAACGUCAAUUAUUGCGCAACUUUCUACCCUAGUGGCGUUGUGCUGAGGAAAAUGACGAUAGACUCGUAGCUCUUGGGAAGGCUCUGGAGAAUACAAAUGGCCACGUCUUCUUCAGCCAUGGCGGCGCCCAUAGCAGUCAGUUGCGCUUGGAUGUUGAGAGCCUCGUUGCAGUGCGUCAUGAUGUUGACUCCUCCUUGCAUCUUGAGGCCGAAGAGUUGCUUCUUGAAAAAUGUGCGUCCGACACGGCUUUGCGUCCCGUUUAAAAGACGCAGUUCGAUCCACGCCUCCCUAGCAAAGUUGGUACCAGCGAUGACAUGGUGGUGGUACUCGGGCUUCAUGUGAAGCAGCAUGCGGCCAAGAGCAAUGUUGUUCCCGCGCAUGAAUUCAGCGCGAUCGUUGUCGAAGAUUUUUCCAAGCAACAGGUAUGAAGUUGAACGUCACGAAACACUGUUUAUGCCUUCCUGACUAAAUAGUAUUGAUGAGGCAAUACGACGACAGCGCAUUCUCCCAUAACGGCCAGGAUCAAUGCAUGGGCAUUAAUAUUGAAGCAAAAGCACUUUUCAAGGUUAUUGACCUGCAUUGUAGCAUUGGGUUCAAACAUCUUGUGGUAUUGUGUUCUGAAUACACCACUCACUGUUAAGCUUGAAGAAGUUAUCGUCAUCAUUAUGCACUGUGAACCGAAGCUCGGAUGUGACCAUGUUAGUGCAGAAAAAACAUUUGUAGUGUAGCUCGUACUAAUCCCUUGUCCAAAUCAAAUACGUGGCGCUAUUUAUCACCUUUGGAUCCCAGCGUAGAAAUUUGAUUGUUAUGACUCCACUUGUACGCGGAUAUCCUUAGUAACUCUAGUCCAUUUAAAUGAUACGUGACCAUUUCUAUGAUUGAGCUGAUAAGAAAAGGCUCUUCAGAAUUAGAAAGAAAUAUUCCUAUUCUAUUACAAGUUUUCAGCACGCUUCUCUUCAUAUGUGUAUCCGUAUCUCACCUACUUGUUUGCUACUUAUAUCCAUUACUUAAUGCCUUCAUAUAUGUUGACACCUUUACUUUUAGAGGGUCCUGCGCUCACGAAGGCCCUUGAAAAUUGAUGAGAGAUUUAUUCGCACCCUCGUUCGUACUCAUAACCGCAUGAGGUCUCCAAGGUUAGCAGCCUCUAGUUGAUCGAAGAAUGUAGAUAAGGGAAGUAGGCAAAAUGGAUCCGUAACUUCGGAAAAAGGAUUAACUCUGAGAGUUGGGUAUGGACUCGUUUUCAGGAGCUUUGAUGGCCUACAAUGGAGUGAGUCAGACCUCUUGGGAAUUGACAUGACCCGUUGGUUGGGCUGCCUUGGUUAUACUAGAGAAUUGUGUAUGCGAUGAAUAACUAACUCAAAACUGGAGCGGACAAGGCGAAUUUUAAUAUUUAGUUAGAACAAAGCAUUGUGAUUGCCGGAGACGGUGUUGACACAAUGAGAUUUCUGCCCAGUGCUCGAAAUGUUAAAGUGAAGAGAUUCAACAAAGCACAAGUAAACGACGGGAGUAAUAAGAACUCUCAUAAAGUAGCCAAAUGCCUCGGUAUCUAAAUAGUGAUGAGCAUGAAUUAAUUAAUCAAAUUCCCACUGUCGCUAUCUACUGUAUAGCGGUCCCACAGCAAGAAGAACGGCUUGGAAAAAUUAGCGCGGGAAGAAAACCCUGUUGAUCUUGACUCUAGUCUGACGUUGUGAAAAACCUUAAGAGGUGUGAAAUAAGUGGGAGCUUUGGCGCAAGUAAAAUACCACUACUUCUCAUGUUGUUUUACUUAUUCCAUUUUGUUAAAUGAGAACACUGGUGUGUGUCCUAUAGUAUGCUCAUUGAGAACACAAACCUCAUGUAGAACAAAAGGGCAAAAGCUCACUUGAUUUUGAAUUUUAGUGUGAAUACAAACCGUGAUAGCGAGGCCUUUCGAUCCUUUAGUUCUUUAAAAUUUUAAGCUAGUUAAAAAAGUACACGGAUAACAGAAUUGUUGCAGCCAAGCGUGCAUAGCGAUGUUGCUUUUUGAUUCUUCGACGUCGGCUCUUCCUAUCAUUGUGAAGUAGAAUUCGCCAAUUUUUUUAUUGUUCAUCCACUAAAAGGGAACGUGAGCUGGGUUUAGACCGUCGUAAGACAGGUUAGUUUUGCCCUAAUGAUGAGUCCGUGGUCUAAGUGUUAAAAUGUCUUUUCUUAAUGUAAAAAGAAUGUUCCACCAUCUGAGUUGUCUCGUGAGCAGUGGGUGAAAUGUCUUCAGAACUCCAGGCGUAUCGGUAUCGUAAUGCCAGUGCAUUCUGCUGGAGUCGAAACUUAAUGUCGCGGAAUACUGGGAGUAGUGAUCGAUUCAGUGACCGUUAGGUUUUCAAGCUUGGUUUGAAGGUUGUAUGUGUAGGCCUAGUUGUCGUAAAGGCAACCCGGGUGGUUUUGGUUUGUGAAGAGUUCUGUACAACCAUU
rnacentral:rRNA from 1 species